UUGAACUAGCCCCCUAAAAUAAGUGCCAGAGCCCCCCGUCUAGAGCACAGAGAAUGAGGCAGGUGUCCUCAAAGGUCUUCAGAAGAAGAGGAGUCUGCCUGUCCACAUCUGUCUUAUCCACCACUGACGUCGGGCAGAGGUAAUAUCCCUCUGGAGAUCCUCAGAUUAAAAUAUUGCUUGACCUUUGAAGCUUUUCCAAUCCCUUUGCAAGAGUACUUUGGGAUAAUCUCUGUUUGGCAUACGGAGAGCGGGGUGUCUCUGCACAAGUGGCCUGCCUGGAAAGGCUAUUCCUGCCUCUGCUGCUCUAUCUACCUGGAGAUAUUCUUAAACAUCCACAAGUUACCUGUGGGAAGGGGAGAGGAAGGCGCCUGGUUAGAGGAAUGUAAUUACAACUAAGGCAAUAUGUGCACAAGGUACCCGAAAGCCAGACUGCUUCACGAGCUGCUGAUAGGUUUUUAUUUUGUCAGCUAGGAAGACUAGUUUGUCCUCCUUCGAUUUUACGUAGCACCUCAGGUAAUGGAGCCAGGAACCCUGCAGGGACAUCCACAUGAGGUUUGCAAGAAUUCUUCACUUGUGAUGUACAAUUUGUAAAGCAUUCGGGAUUCAGAAUCAAAUCAGCUACCUGUUCUCGAAACGGUUACCAUCUACACCUGUACCUGGACACGUACCUGACCCACUGCACACCCUGGAUGGCGUUCUGCUUAUGAACAGCAAGUCAACACCUUCUCUUCUUGUUGCUCAGAGUUCACCCCUUGAUGCAUAGUGCGGUAUUUAAGCCCUGCUCCGACCACCAAGAUGUUUGUAUGGACCCAUCAUUAUCACAUCGAUUUCUUCGCACAAAGCCCCUUUGUGUCAAGGGAGCGUUUUCCCAUUUCACAGGUGGGAGGAGAAGUGACAAGACAAGACGCUGAGGGACGUUCGCAAAUUCCAAGUCCUCAGGUUGGGACACCCAGAAUUGGAUCUUUGAGUAGUCGGUAUUAAAUAGUACUUUACACACACAGUCCGAAAAAGAACAUCUCCCACUGACCAAAGUUUCAGCUCUUAGCAUGCAGGCUCUGAGUCACAGUUCAGCAAUCCAGAAAAUAAGGAGCAUGUGAGCAGGGGAAUGCUCGACUGAAAAACAUUCGUGUGUUGCAUCUAUGCAGAGGCAGGGCCAGGAUCCAGCUCUCGGAGGAAGCACUGGGGCUGUUCCUGCUUUUCCCUGCUUUGCCCAUUGCACACCAGCCAACGUCUCCCACAAAAUGCA